AGAUGCGUUCAUAUCUCCGGCAAAGCACUGCAUCCCGUCCGAUCUGCAAAGUUAAGCCCGGAAGA
rnacentral:rRNA from 1 species